UGCGUAGGUGGUUCUGCAUGUCGGGUGUGAAAUACCACGGCUUAACCGUGGAAGUGCAUUCGAAACUGCAGAGCUAGAGUGCAGGAAGGGAGAGUGGAAUUCUUGGUGUAGCGGUGAAAUGCGUUGAUAUCAAGAAGAACACCGGUGGCGAAGGCGGCUCUCUGGAAUGCAACUGACACUGAGGCACGAAAGCUGGGGGAGCAAACAG
rnacentral:rRNA from 1 species